rnacentral:sRNA from 1 species
GGAGGCGCUGCAGCGCGAGCUGGGCCGGCGGGCGUGGUUCGAGAGCGCGCAGAGUCCAGACGGGCGGCAGGGCCCGAGGGGCCGACCCUGAGCGUCCCUGGUCUUUCCAGCCCUCACUGGGAACCGCACUGACAAGGCCCUCCCCUCCCUUGGGCUGGACCCCUCUCUACAGCUAGGAGCCAAUGGCAGAACACAGAACCAAACCCAGUGAGUUGGACCAAGGGAAGUAUGAUGCUGAUGACAACGUGAAGAUCAUCUGCCUGGGAGAUAGCGCAGUGGGCAAAUCCAAACUCAUGGAGAGAUUUCUCAUGGAUGGCUUGUAUCCUUCAAGGUUUGAAGUACCCUUUGUUCCUGUGGGUCUUCCCACGCUCAUGUAUCAGUGUCCCACUGCCACCCCUUUGUACCAGCAGCCCAGGAAGGAGGAUUGGGUAAGUGAAUGCACAGGUUUUUGUUCCACACUUGUUUCUUGCCGAUUGACCCACAUGGCAUUGCACAAUCAGUGCUGUAUAUUUUGGACCUUACUCAUAUUUGGAUUGUUUUAUAUUAAGAGGGCAGUAGAAUGGCAAACAGCAAAUGGUUUGGAUCUAAUGCCUGGAUUCAAACCCCACCUC